UUGAACGCUGGCGGCAGGCCUAACACAUGCAAGUCGAGCGGAUGAAGGGAGCUUGCUCCUGGAUUCAGCGGCGGACGGGUGAGUAAUGCCUAGGAAUCUGCCUGGUAGUGGGGGAUAACGUCCGGAAACGGGCGCUAAUACCGCAUACGUCCGGAGGGAGAAAGUGGGGGAUCUUCGGACCUCACGCUAUCAGAUGAGCCUAGGUCGGAUUAGCUAGUUGGUGGGGUAAAGGCCUACCAAGGCGACGAUCCGUAACUGGUCUGAGAGGAUGAUCAGUCACACUGGAACUGAGACACGUUCCAGACUCCUACGGGAGGCAGCAGUGGGGAAUAUUGGACAAUGGGCGAAAGCCUGAUCCAGCCAUGCCGCGUGUGUGAAGAAGGUCUUCGGAUUGUAAAGCACUUUAAGUUGGGAGGAAGGGCAGUAAGUUAAUACCUUGCUGUUUUGACGUUACCAACAGAAUAAGCACCGGCUAACUUCGUG
rnacentral:rRNA from 1 species